rnacentral:rRNA from 1 species
GAGUUUGAUCUUGGCUCAGGACGAACGCUGGCGGCAUGCCUAAUACAUGCAAGUCGAACGAGGUUUCCUUAAUGAUAGUUGGUGCUUGCAUUAAUUUGACUUAAGAUCUAACCGAGUGGCGAACUGGUGAGUAACACGUGGGGAACCUGCCCUUAAGUAGGGGAUAACAUUUGGAAACAAAUGCUAAUACCGUAUAACAACAUAAACCACAUGGUUUAUGUUUGAAAGAUGGCUCUGCUAUCGCUUUUGGAUGGACCCGCGGCGUAUUAGCUAGUUGGUAAGGUAACGGCUUACCAAGGCAACGAUGGGCAGUAGCCGACCUGAGAGGGUGAUCGGCCACACUGGAACUGAGACACGGUCCAGACUCCACGGGAGGCAGCAGUAGGGAAUCUUCCGCAAUGGGCGAAAGCCUGACGGAGCAACGCCGCGUGAGUGAUGAAGGUCUUCGGAUCGUAAAACUCUGUUAUUAGGGAAGAACAUAUGUGUAAGU